rnacentral:rRNA from 1 species
GAUGAACGCUGGCGGCGUGCCUAACACAUGCAAGUCGAACGAAGCAAUCGGAGGAAGUUUUCGGAUGGAAUCUGAUUGACUGAGUGGCGGACGGGUGAGUAACGCGUGGAUAACCUGCCUCACACUGGGGGAUAACAGUUAGAAAUGACUGCUAAUACCGCAUAAGCGCACGCUACCGCAUGGUAGAGUGUGAAAAACUCCGGUAGGUGUGAGAUGGAUCCGCGUCUGAUUAGCCAGUUGGCGGGUAACGCCCACCAAGCGACGAUCAGUAGCCGACCUGAGAGGGUGACGGCCACAUUGGGACUGAGACACGGGCCCAAAC